CCGACACUCCUAGCUGUGAGGUAUGCAUUAAGACUACAAGAACAGGUAACCAUAUAUCCCAGACCCUAAUUUGGCAUUCGCAAUAUGAGUGUAAAGGAGAUGUAUCAAGAUGUAGAUACUUAAAUAUAGAAUAUAGUGUGUGUCAUUUAGGAGUAGGAGAACCUAGGUGCUUCAGUCCUGAGUAUCAACCCCGUACAAUUUGGUUGACUCUCAGAAAUGGAGAUCCUCAGGGGACCCUAAUUAAUAAGACGGUAUUAGAAUCCGUAUAUUCU